rnacentral:lncRNA from 1 species
GAUUUCCCCAAGCUAUAUACUAGGUCCUUGUUACCAAUCGAUUUUGUAUAUAGUAGUGUGUAUAUGCCAAUCUCAGCCUCCCACUUUAUCCCUCCUCUCAAUGUUUCCUCUUUGAGAACCCUAAGUUUGGUUUUGAAAUCUUUUGAGUCUUUUUCUGUUUUAUUAAUAAGUUGUUUUUUAUUAGAUUGCACAUAUAAUGAUUUCAUGUGAUAUUGUUUUUGCCUGACUUCACUUAGUAUGAUAAUCUAGAUCCAUGCAUGUUGCUGCAAAUGGCAUUAUUUCAUUACUUCUUGUGGACAAGUAAUAUUCCACCAUACAUAUGUACCACAUCUUUAUUCCAUCCUCUGUUGAUGGACAUUUAGGUUGCUUCCAAGUUUUGGCUAUCGUAAAUGGUGCUGCGGUGCACGCUGGGGUGCUUUUAUUUUUUUGUUAUGUUUUUUUCUGGGUAUAUGCCAAGGAGUGGAAUUACUAGAUCAUUUGGUAAUCAGAAACUUAGAUCAGGCUAGAUGUAGGCCUAGUAAUUUGGAAAUAAGCCUGCAGAAAAUCUGGGGUCAUGAAAGGGCUUAUAGGAAGCAGUGGAACAAUGAUAUAGAAAAUGGCUUUACAGGCAAAAUCUCAUUGAGGUGCACAGAAUGAAUGGGAGAGAAGAAAGCCUGCAAGUCUGAAGCUGUUGGGAGGCUACAAAAGCAGUCUGCACAAAGAUGUUGAUUGUGAAGAGAGAAAGCUGCGUGGUUUUACAGAAAGUUACACAACAUAAUUUGGAUUUAAGGAGUGCAGAACUUAGAUUCAAAGAUGAAUCAGAUGUUAAACAUGGGCUGAGUUCUAAGAGUAUUGGUUGCUAUGUGACAGAAGAUAAAUCUUUUCCGGUGUGCUUAGUUUGAGGUAUCAAUCUGGCAUCAAAACUACUCAGUAGAGAGUUGGGGAUGCAAGCCUGAAACCUGAGGAAUCAGAUUCAGGUAAUAUUUGGAAACCUUCCACAUAAAAUACAACAGCUGCAUCCCUGAGAUUGAUCAAUUUUCUAACAGAAAUGCCGAAGAGAAGGCCAGAGCUCUUGAGGUCAAACAUAAUGGGAAAUCCAAAGCUUUCAAAAUGGAAGAGGGUU